AUCUUUUUAGUAUAAAAGUAUUUUUGGCUUCCAACCAAAGGGUCUAGACAAUUCUAGAAAAGAU
rnacentral:tRNA from 1 species